rnacentral:lncRNA from 1 species
GGCAGUUCAGGUUUUAAUGGAGGGCAACAGUAUUUCUUUGCAAUGGUUAACAAUACUAGUAGAAACAGAAUAUGAAAUGAAAAGUGGGGAAAGGCUUCAUGAGUAUGAAUUUAUUUGAAUGAAGAAAAAUUUCAAUGUUACUUAGGCUGAAUAAAGACAAUGAUCAUUAAGUAAUUCUAGAAAAUAGAGAUUAUUCUAGAUAAAUGAUCCUUAUAAGAUUCCUUUGAUUCCUGUUAAUUGCAAUCCAAUACAUAAAUAUUGAAGGCUUAUUAUGAGCAAAUUACUCUUUUUCGUAUGACAAAGAUGAAAAUACUUCUGCCGGUUAACAUUUUAUAAUUCUAUGACCUUAUGAUUCUGAACACCUACGUAAGAUAUUUUUAAACCUUGACAGUUACAUUGGGAGAUUUACAUCAAGAACCAGCACUAUGGAGUCAGAAUUUGCAUGGAGUUCUAUCUUCAAAGUUUUACUACAAACCGGUGCCACUGGGUCAUUUUUAGAUUCAGACCAUUGGUUAGUGGCUUCUCCCCACAGUGAACCGGACAGUCAUGUGCCACUUGGCAGUUUUCAAGGUAUGAGUUUAUUCUGUUUGAUGUUCUGUCAAUUUCUCCAGGGGACAAGCAGCCAGAUGGUUAAUUGCCCUUCCUUAAGCACAGACGCACUCACAGAAAAGGUGUGAGGAAGGACCCCUCCGAAAGAGGAGCCUCUCACAGAGCAGGCUGAGCCGCUGUACAGAGUUGAGAUUGUUGACCCACUGAUUGUGCCUGAAAGGCUUUUCAGCCACACAAAACCCUGGGCUUCCUCAUUAGCAUAUCAGAGGUGGCGCAGUGGUGGGAAAUACUGCAGGCAACAA